UUGGGGAGUCCCAGGUGCGUCUGGGGGGUCCCAGUGAUGGAUUUGGGGAGGUUGUGCCCCCCCCCCCAAGCCCCCUCUGCACCCAACUGGGAUUGAACUGGGAUGAGCUGGGAUCGAACAGGUGAGCACAGGUGUGGUUUAGGAAGGCGCAGGUGCGUCCAGGUGUGCACAGGUGUGUCCCAGAAACACCCACAGGUGUGUCCAGGUGUGACAGACACACCCACAGGUGCGUCCAGGUGUCCCCAGGUGUGUCCCCAGGCAUCCCCAGGUGUGUCCAGGUGUGACAGACACACCCACAGGUGCGUCCAGGUGUCCCCAGGUGUGUCCCCAGGCAUCCCCAGGUGUGUCCAGGUGUGACAGACACACCCACAGGUGCGUCCAGGUGUCCCCAGGUGUGUCCCCAGGCAUCCCCAGGUGUGUCCAGGUGUGACAGACACACCCACAGGUGCGUCCAGGUGUCCCCAGGUGUGUCCCCAGGCAUCCCCAGGUGUGUCCAGGUGUGACAGACACACCCACAGGUGCGUCCAGGUGUCCCCAGGUGUGUCCCCAGGCAUCCCCAGGUGUGUCCAGGUGUGACAGACACACCCACAGGUGCGUCCAGGUGUCCCCAGGUGUGUCCCCAGGCAUCCCCAGGUGUGUCCAGGUGUGACAGACACACCCACAGGUGCGUCCAGGUGUCCCCAGGUGUGUCCCCAGGCAUCCCCAGGCGUCCCCAGGUGAGGUUUAGGAAGGCACAGGUGUGUCCAGAUGUCUCCAGGUGUAAGACACACCCACAGGUGUGUCCAGGUGUGACACAGACACACACAGAGAUGUCCCAGGAGAGCCCAGGCGAGGUUUGGAAGGCACAGGUGAGGUUUGGGCUGUAUCCAGGUGUGUCCAGGUGUGCCACAGACACACACAGAGGUGUCCCAGGUGUCCCCAGGUGUGUCCAGGUGGGACACAG